UACCAGUUCAGCAAGUGUCUCUACUGU
rnacentral:piRNA from 1 species